rnacentral:lncRNA from 1 species
AUGUUUUCUUUCAUUAUUUUUAUGAUCCGGGAACCGCCCCACACAAGAGAGCUGGAAUCCUCUGGUCUUGAUCCUCGGGAGGAAACUGUGACAGGAGAGGGGCAGGCGUCCUCCCCGCUUUCCAAACGAGACCGGGCUCCGCUGGACUGCGGACUGGCCCAGAGUCCCCACCAGGGCCCGGCCCACCCCGUGCUGCUCCGAGGGUCUGUCGCACAGAACAGCGGGAAACGAGCAUUCAGUCGUCGUCGUCGUCGUCUUCAAGGGCAUAAACCCAAGGUGGGAGAGGGGAAAACAACCCCGCUUGGGCCCAACCUUAGAGGAGGCGCCCGGUGGGCAAGGCCGAGUGGGAGAGAAAGGCUGACUGGGACCUGGUCCCCCCAGGAUCUCGGGGCGCCGAUGCUGGGAAACACGGACCGUGGCCGCGAAUGCAGGAGUGCAGAGUGUGACUGCGGGGGAAGAGCUGUCCGUUGCAGGGCAUGAAGGAAGGCUUCCUGGAGGAGGUGCCCUUGGAGCUGGUCCGGAAGUUGGGGGGAGGGGUUCCGCAGGGUAUUCUGGAAUGAAGAAGGAGCUUAAGCCAGAGCAAGCGCCGACUCCUACUGAGAAAGGACUGUGGGAGAGAAACUGGGGGGCAAGAAAAUCCUGGGGAACAGGGGCAGUGAAGCAGCUCCUGGGCUCACACACGCGGCUCUCAGAGGGCGCACCUUUCACCCGCUCCUGGUUCAGACAAGAUUCAGACCCGCGGAUGCUCACCUGCCGGGGGAGCCAGUGGUGAGCCCGGCUCAGCAUUGCCUUUCUCCCCGGGACCCAGGACCCAGCCAUGACCAGGCCUGGAGGCCUCCACGGGCAGCGGGUGGUCAGCAGAGCGCCUCCUGUGGCCUCUCGAGUGGCCCGGGCCUCCUCAUGGUGGUGGCCGGAGCCAACAGCAGUGUCCCAGGAGGGCUGGGUGGGGAGUCCCUGGGCCUGGUGGCAGUGCAGCCGGACUCAGGGACGGAGCACAGACCACCUCUUCAUGUCAGAAGCUGCGAGUCCGGGAUUUUGGAAGACACCGAGGUUGCACGCCCGGGCUGCACGCACGCGGCUCUCAGGUGUUGCUGAGUCUCUGCGCGCUGCUGUCAGUGUGGACAGGGUGCCUUGUGUCUCCUGGCCUUUGCUGACCGUGUGAACACAUACAGGUGAGGCUGGGCUGCUCCUUUGGCGCCGCAAGGAUGGCAGAGGCUGCAGGACUGGGAGUGACUGCUAUUCCGGAUGUUGCUGCAGAAGGUGGGGGAUGGGGCACAGGUGAGCCCCCAGGAGCGGGGCUCUGGGAAGCACCCUGAUCAGAGCAGGAGGCCCAAGUCCUGCCUGCUGCUGGCGGUGGGCACAUCCUGGAGCCCUGGAGGCCUGGGGCCCUCGUCAGCUCUAAGAUGCUCAGUGUUUCCUGAGCGACGCGGGUCCUUGGCCCCAGAGGUACCCACGUGCUCGCGUUUGGGUCUGUUAGACC